rnacentral:rRNA from 1 species
AGUCGAGCGAGUAGAGAGAAGCUUGCUUCUCUUGAGAGCGGCGGACGGGUGAGUAAUGCCUAGGAAUCUGCCUGGUAGUGGGGGAUAACGUUCGGAAACGGACGCUAAUACCGCAUACGUCCUACGGGAGAAAGCAGGGGACCUUCGGGCCUUGCGCUAUCAGAUGAGCCUAGGUCGGAUUAGCUAGUUGGUGAGGUAAUGGCUCACCAAGGCGACGAUCCGUAACUGGUCUGAGAGGAUGAUCAGUCACACUGGAACUGAGACACGGUCCAGACUCCUACGGGAGGCAGCAGUGGGGAAUAUUGGACAAUGGGCGAAAGCCUGAUCCAGCCAUGCCGCGUGUGUGAAGAAGGUCUUCGGAUUGUAAAGCACUUUAAGUUGGGAGGAAGGGUUGUAGAUUAAUACUCUGCAAUUUUGACGUUACCGACAGAAUAAGCACCGGCUAACUCUGUGCCAGCAGCCGCGGUAAUACAGAGGGUGCAAGCGUUAAUCGGAAUUACUGGGCGUAAAGCGCGCGUAGGUGGUUUGUUAAGUUGGAUGUGAAAUCCCCGGGCUCAACCUGGGAACUGCAUUCAAAACUGACUGACUAGAGUAUGGUAGAGGGUGGUGGAAUUUCCUGUGUAGCGGUGAAAUGCGUAGAUAUAGGAAGGAACACCAGUGGCGAAGGCGACCACCUGGACUAAUACUGACACUGAGGUGCGAAAGCGUGGGGAGCAAACAGGAUUAGAUACCCUGGUAGUCCACGCCGUAAACGAUGUCAACUAGCCGUUGGAAGCCUUGAGCUUUUAGUGGCGCAGCUAACGCAUUAAGUUGACCGCCUGGGGAGUACGGCCGCAAGGUUAAAACUCAAAUGAAUUGACGGGGGGCCCGCACAAGCGGUGGAAGCAUGUGGUUUAAUUU